rnacentral:ncRNA from 2 species
CAGCAGGACGGUGGUCAUGGAAGUC